rnacentral:rRNA from 1 species
CACGUAGGGGCCAAGCGUUGUCCGGAUUUAUUGGGCGUAAAGAGCUCGUAGGCGGUUUAGUCAGUCGGGUGUGAAAACUCCGGGCUUAACUCGGAGAGGCCACCCGAUACUGCUGUGACUUGAGUCCGGUAGGGGAGUGGGGAAUUCCUGGUGUAGCGGUGAAAUGCGCAGAUAUCAGGAGGAACACCGGUGGCGAAGGCGCCACUCUGGGCCGGAACUGACGCUGAGGAGCGAAAGCGUGGGGAGCAAACAGG